UUACGCACAUUUUCAUCAUAAUCCAACAGCCGGUCCCGGAGGGCAGAGAUGAUCUGAGGUGCUUCUUGUCUAAAUGGAUUUGACAGCAGACAUCCCUUGACAUGUUCAAGGACAGACAUUCUGACCUCAACUAUUCUAUCAGUAAGUCUCUUCAAAAAUUCCAAGAAAAUCGGAUGAAAUGCCUCAGAGAUAGCAGAUUCCGAUAGAGCAAAAAGAUCCCCAACUAAGUGCACAGCUUUUAAUCGCACAUCUAACUGAUCUGUCAGUAGUUCUCCUGUGAUGUAGGGAACAACUCCUGAUAAGAUCUGAGGAGCACAACGGUAAAUAUCAUAAAUGACUUCAUGGUAGUCAAUUUCAAAUGUUGUUGGCCUGCUGUCUCCAGACAUUGAAGAUACAAGAAACUGCUUUAUGCUGGGCUCCAAUUUUCCUGAACACUGCUCUAUCACCUUCAUAGCAAGCCCCCUUCCAGCUAUCGAAACAUCUUUCUUAUGACGACCUAGAACCGACAAAAUGACGUGUAAAAGAUCCUCCCGGAUAUCUUCACUCUCUUCUAUGAGAACAACCAUAAUAGUUUGCAUUGAUGUCAGAAUACUAUCUUGAUGCUCAUCCCUGACAACAUUGAGAAAAGUCUGGAACAUUUCAUUG
rnacentral:misc_RNA from 1 species